GUUGGAUACCUUCUCCCCACGCUCGUCUCUCCCUCCCUCUCCUCUCCCCUCUCUGUUUCCCUCUCCUCAAACACAGGAGUUUGAGCGCGGCGGCGGCGAGAUGCGGCGGCCGAGAUCCUCCUCCUCCACAUGAUGUGGCGGCCGCGACCCUUCACCUCCACGCGACGCGGCUGGGGGCGGUCUCCUCUUCCCAGCGAGGGCGACGAGAUCCACGGCGGCACCGGGGGCGUCGUCACGGGGACCACGACGGCAAUUAUCCACAGCAGCAACUGGAUCCUCGGCGUGCGGGCGAAGUGGUGGCCAGUAGGCGAAUCGAUUCAGUCUUCCCCCACCCUCCCCAGACCCCAUCACCAACCCUUCCCCAAGUCCGGAUCUGGAGCCACCAGAAGCUCGCAACAUCAAGUCCAAUGAUUUCUGCGUGUGGAGCUGUGAACUUCUCAAUAAAGCGCAGGGUUUGUGGCCUGUAGGAGUUAUGCUGCGAGAGGCAAACUGAUGAUGAGGGCAGUGCCUCCAAUCCGUGCCAGCUUCCAGCCAGCAUUUCCUCAACACUCAAGCUUUCAAGAUGCAAACAGGAAGAAACAAACUGUUCCUUGCUAUCAAAGACAACAAGCUCCACAGAUAGAAGCCAAAAAUUCCUAGAAGAAUCUGCUGAAUCCCUGGCUUUUUGAGAAGAAGGUUUAUAUCUGCAUUUGCUUGAUCUUCUCAACUUUGAUCAUUAGUAGAUGAGUUAUAUUCUUCGGUAAUUGGAAUACUGAUAAAAGUCGAACAAACUCGAAGGUCGAUGGAGGAGGUAUAUGACGCUUUGGCUGAACACCUUCUUUCUGUCUUGAAGAAUAUUGAACGUCUUGACUCAAUUUGUGUUGCCAUUUAUACCAUGCCGAUACAAUGCUCCUAGAUUUUUUUUUCCUGAACCACAUGACUACUAGAUUACUCUGCACUUAUAAAUUUCCUUGAACUUAGUUGAUAAUUUCCCUGAAAUGAUGAUUUCUUUCAUUUGUUUGCAUGCACAAGAAUUGUCUCACCUAGCCACCCACUGGUGAAAAGAAGUAAGGACAGGCAAGGCAAAAAAGUGCCCUAAAUCAGAAAGGGACUGCUUUAGAAGCACACCGACAGUACCCUAGAGAAUAUCGAAUGGAAGCACUUUAGAUGUGUGUAUUAACAGUAUCAAUAAGGUACAGGGCCAUUAUAAAUUUUUCUGAUAUAAAAAAGUUAAAUUCUAGAAAACCAUCCUGCAUUUCUGAACUAAAGGAGCUGCAGGACCUGAGGAUAUUUUGCAGAUAAUAAAUGUGAGUCCCUUGAUCACCGGAAAGUACUCGCUGCCCCAUGUUCUGAAUCUGAUAUUUGGAGAGCUAAAUUUGUAAUGGUGUAUGCAUGCCAAAAUACUAAACUCCCUGUUGUGGUAUUGCCUUCUGUCAGGAGAAGGCUCUGGUGAUUCAGGAGGCUUCUCAGGUUGUUUUCCCUUUAUUUAUUUGUUUAGGGUGGACUCCAGCUGAUAAAGGGCCGUUGACAUUGAAGGACAUUUCGUCAUUGUGCCAUUGUACAACGUAGCACGGGAACUUAACCUGUGCAAUUUGCUCCACAUAAUACUAGCCAGUGCUGACUAAUUGUUUCUGCCUACAAAUUUCCAGCUUUAGAUCAAAUUACGGCACUAAAAGCAUAGCAGUAUACCUAGUACUAUAUUGCAGCUGAAAAUUACUACACUAAAAGCAUAGCAUGAAAACCUUGAAUAGCUGGAUUUCAUAAGCUAUUAACAGUGCUCAAGUUGAAACGAUUUCUGUGCAAAUGCAAUUCCUCUUUUUGCUGGAGAUUGAUAUAUUGUCCAAAUGCAUAUGACAUAGUGCUAAUGGUGGGCUAGUGAACAAGGAGAUAAUAGUGAUGGCUUUAGAGAUCACAGUUGAUCUGUAUGAGUUCAAUGGAUUAAGCUUGUGUAUGACUGCAAUUCAUGGCUGUGUGUUGUGUAUAAUGGAUAAAACCUGUGUACCUGUAAUGUAAGUAAUAUAUAUAAAGGAUGAAAACUGUGUAUUUGUA